GUUAAGAGCUAGGGCUAGGACUUGGAGGAUGUGUAGGCAAACGGAAAGAGAGCCGGGGGAAGAAAAACCGAAAUGGAUUCAUUCUCUGUCCUGGAUGGAGGAGGAGAGGAGAAGAGAAGGGGACGUGCGAGCUUCCUUCAACUGCCUCUGUCCGGUGAAAAGUGCUCAGACCCCCGGGGCUGCGCCGGACUCCGGAGCCCGCGCGGACUUUCGCGUUGAGCUGCCAAUCAAACCGCUCGCAGCCACCACCCUGCUCUGGCACCGACAU
ensembl:misc_RNA